GAGCGCAGAGCCAAAGCCUUUCACGAAGCAGGUGUCAGUAGAUGAUAAGCCCUGAUGUCAUUAACUUCUAAGGAAUUCUGGUUUUUGAAGGAGGGAGGAAAAGAAAUCGUUUGAAUGCAGCAAAAUGGAGCGAGGAAGAUGCUUCUCUCUUGGUCUUAAGCUGUGGUCAGAGGGAGAUGUGACCAUGAGAUGGCAGUGGGAGAAGCACUCAAGCCAUGCUUGGUGGCUUUGAAGACAGAGGCCGUGAGCCAGGGCAUGUAGGCGGCCUCUAUAAAUUGGAAAAGGCCAAGAAACAGAUUCUCUCCCAGAGCCUCCAGAAAGGAACACAGCUCUGUUGACACCUUGGUUUUAGCUCUGUGAGACCCUGCACAAUGAAUACUCCUUUCCUUUUGAGGACUGUCUGAUCUCCCACUGAAUUUAAUCUGGAGAACUUCUUGUUAGACAGAUGUUCCUGCCUCACCACGCCAAUGGUUGGAUGCCCAUGUUCCUGGCAGAUUCCCUAAUACAAUAUUCCACCGGCUACAGUCAGAGCUUUGCACACCUGGCCUUCUCCCCAUAAUUAAAAAUUAUCAUCAGGUUAAUCUUCAAAGCCUUGCCUUCCUAUCAUAUGAUGGUGCAUAGCAAAAGAUUAAGCCGUUUAAACUAAAUCCUGGCAAUAGUCAAUAUUAGCCCUCCAAGUUGAGGUAAAGCCUUUACUCAGACAUUAAGAAUGCUACGACAUAAUUAAAACUCUUAAGGUGGGAUAUAAGUCUUAAGAAUUUCAGGUACCAGCAGUUAAUCAGGAGAGAGAUUUCUGAGUAAACUUUCAGCAUCUUUGGAAUCAUCCUCCAAAGCUCGUGCAAAAGGCUGACUCCACUAAAAGGAAUAUUUUGGCCGAUGGAGGGGUUGAGAAGCUCGUGAAAAUGUACUCUCGUGGCUUGUUUGGCUUCACUAAUUGGAUCAAUAUUUCUUGUGUAUUUUUUUCUCUUAAAAAAUAAAACCAAAUACAGUACUAACCCAAUGCCUUUAGAAACCUGUAUUUUGUCUUCUGGAGACUUUUUAGUGUUUUAAUUCCCUCAGCCACUCUGUAAUUCUUUAUUAAGUUUUAAAGUGGUUUAAACUCUCCAUCUGCAGACAAUGCAUUAUUUCCGCCUCUUUGCCAGCAGGUGUAGUAUUUCCCAGGAGUCUGUUUUAGAGCGCCUUCUGGUGGUUUACAGCUAUUAUGACACAUCCAUCUGUAGCAUCUGCAUCAUCUCACGGUGAUUGCUAAGACCUGCUCACCAAAACAAUAAUAGAAGUUAUGUGUGCAACAGAUUGCAGCAGAAUGAUGCUCAGCUUUACAAAUUAAGAAUAAUUACUCAACGUGUGACUGUCAGGAAAAGGACAGGAGAGUUUUGGGGAGGCAGGUUACAACCACUCUAGCAAACGGCUCUUUCACCUGGAACUGUAAAACAUACUCUGAAGGAUGCAUUGUGUAUUUCUAUCGCUUGCUGAAUUCGGCUAAUUUUCAGUCUGGGGUGAAGGUAGAGAAAGUGCUCUGGCUUUGUGUUAUGUCUGCUCAUAUUAAGGUCUCUUCGAGUGGGGCAAUAUGACUAAUUACUAGCUCCUUCCAAGACUUUUUAUUACUUGGUGAUGAAUCGUUAGAAGAAAGAGCUCAGUGACUUGUGUUCACAUUGCUCUCUUGCCUUACGAUCUAGGUCUCUGUGCCUUUCUUUUUAUUUACUAUUUGUCUUUUAUUGUGGUAAAAACACAUUAAAUUUACCACCUUAGCCUUUUUAAAGUGUGCAGUUUCUGUGCCUUUCUGACUUGACUUUUUUUUUUUUUUCUUUCCGUCUGAUCAUGCCCUUUUCCUUGGUACUUAUAACACUUAAGUACUGAUAUAGAAAUGAAAUAAAACAUGUAAGGAUUACAAUGAUAAAUUGGCCCGCAUUAUGAUGUGACCAGAAAACCUUGUGAAAAACUUUCAAAAACAGCAAAAAACCAAGCCUAGAUGUAUAUCAGAAUGAGUGUUCUUUUCAAAGUCACAACCUUGGGAAAUUAAACACUUACUAGAAAGACUUUAUCUAAAAUUCUGGCUUUUACUUCAGAGAAUAUUGAAUGUGAAUUAUGUCUCCCUUGCUGCAGAAUCAUCCGUCUUCAGAAAUAGGUUUGGUUUUCAGAAACUGACAGAAGAGAUAUGGUUAAUAACAUAGAUGAGCAAAGCUGAAUCAUGGGUAGUUGGGUCAAAAAUAAACCUCAACUUAGUUAAGGAGAUGUGUUUUCCUAUGUAACUUGUAAAUGGAUUUUCCAGGCAGUUCCCAAAGAGGAAAUUUUUAAAUGUCUUGGGAAAUAGUAGCAUUUUCUGGAAUAAAGAAAAAAAAGGUGUCGAGCUAUUUAGAGGUGACAAAGCAUUUCAACUUUAUUUUCUCAUUUAACCAUAACACAGCAGAAAAGUAGAUGAAAGGGAUUUUAUUAUUAUUAUUAUUGUCCCCGGCAUGUGGAUGAGAAAAUAGAGACUUGUGGAGGUCCAGUGCCUGGUUCAAGGUGCUGUAAUUGUCCACUGUGGGAGUGAUUAAUCUGGACAUGGGACAGCAAAUCCCAUGUUCUUUUAGCUCCACCACAACUCUACAGUGACUAGCUGUUCAGGGACAUUAUUAGAGAUAUAGUUUAUGGUAUUUUUGCUUUAUGAAAAAAAUCAGAUAACUCUUAUCAUAAACCUAUACAUCUUGUCACAUUAAAAAACUAUCUGAUGAAUGGGAAGGAAGUCUGGAAGAAUAUCUGUCCAACCUGUUAACAGUUGAAUGGUAACAUGAUAUUAUUUUCUUCUUGAAACAACAUGAAUGUAUGUAUUGAUAAUCAGAAAAAAAGGUGUUAUUUGUAAAAUCAAUUUCAAAAGAACUAAUUGCAGAGUUCACAGUUCAUAGGUUUUUUUAAAUUAAGAUUUUAUUUUUUUAGAGCACUUUAAGUUCACAGCAAAAUAGAGGGGAAGGUUCAGAGAUCUCCCAUAUGCCCCCUGCCCCACACCUAUACAGCCUCCCCCAUUAUCAACAUCCUGCACCACAGUGGGGCAUUUGCUACAAUUGAUAAGCCUACCUUGAUACAUCGUAAUCACCCAAGGUCCGUAGUUUAAACUAUGGUUCACUCUUAGUUGUACAUUCUAUGGGUUUGGACAAAUGCAUAAUGACAUAUACCCAUCAUAUAUGUAAGAUGAUGAUAUCAGAGUAUUUUCACUGCCCUUAAAAUCCCCUGUGUUCUGCCCACCCCCAGAAACCACUGACCUUUUGACUGUCUCCAUAGUUUUGCCUUUUCCAGAAUGUCACAGAGCUGGAAUCAUACCGUGUACAUCCUUUCCAGAUCGGCUUCUGUCACUUAGUGAUACACAUUUAAGGUUCCUCCAUGUCUGUUCAUGGCUUGAUAGGUCACUUCUUUUUACUGCUGAAUAAUAUUCCACCGUGUGAAUGUACCAGUUUAUCCAUCACCUCCUGAAGGACAUGUUGGUUGCUUCCCAGUUUGGGCAGCUAUGAAUAAAGCUGCUGUAAAUAACCACGUGCAGGUUCCUGUUGCUCUAUAUCCUCAGCAGCACUGAGUUGUCAGUGUUCCAGAUUUUGGUCAUUCUAAUAGGUGUAUAGUAGUAUCUCACUGUUCUUUAAAUUUACAUUUCCUUGAAUUUGCAUUUUCUUUAAAUAAAUUUUCAGAAGAGGAGGAGUUUUUGUUUUUUAAAUAGAUAAAUUCUUGAAAAUGUAUAUAGGAAGAAGUUAUUCUAAACUCCUAACUGAAUAAGAACACAUAUGGUGGGGUCGGACUUUUUUAGUGAUCUUUGAUCUAUUUGCUUAAAAACCUCUUGGAAAUUCUAAUGAAAAUUGUGAACUCUUUCAUCUGGAAUAUGUACAUGAUUUCAGAAUUUUGCCUAUAGUUAAUUUGUGGGCGAUCUAAGCGCCAUCCGUAGGCCAUAUACUACCUAUUCCUGUUUUGUUUUUUUUUCCUGAGAAUUUUCUUUACAACUAUCAAAAGUUUAUUUUUUAUGUAUUAGAUUUAUAACAUCUUAAUUGGUAAAAUUAAAUUAAUAUCUUCUCUAUAAAUGGAGAAAAUAUUUCUUUAUUAGCAUAGCGAUAUUAUUUUUUUAUCGUCUCUCUGUGCAUAAGUAGCUGAAUGGGUUAAGGUCUCCUUAAGAACAUUAUUCAAUCUAUGGACUAAAUUUCCUCCCUUUCCCUUCCUUGACUCCCUUCCCUCCAUCUCUUUCCAGAAAGGAUUUAAGGCAGUUUACAAACAUGCACUAGAUAAAGGAAAAGUAAAGAUAAUUCAGUGAGUAAAUUUGGGCAAAGAGAGACUCAGCAUAGGGCAAGUGAAUUGAAAUAACGUCUGCUUGGAUGAUCUAGAAGUGGACCACCUCUUGGACUCUGAGAUGAUGACAUCGAGAAGGAAAUGUGGUGCCUCAGUUCUGUGCAAUGUGUAUCUACAUAAUGCGUUGACCAAACCUGCCCCAUCGGCAGAAAUACCUGCUUAACCAUAAAGAGCAACAUUCUUCUAACCUCAACAGGACAACUCCUAGAAGACAACAUUCCUACCUGAUCAUGUAAGGGGCCAGAUCUGGAUUGUGUAAACUGUCAAUAAUACAUCAUUUAACAUACAGCCCUCUGUUUCAAAAAACUUUUAUAACCACACCUUGACUUCUAACGGGCGCAACAGUUCUCGAAGCUUUCUGAGAUUCUGUUCUGUUUCUGAGUUUUAAUCCUCAAUUUGGCUUGAAUAAAAUUUUCCAUUUCCUUCUUAAA